GACGAACGCUGGCGGCGUGCUUAACACAUGCAAGUCGAACGCUGAAGCUCAGCUUUUGUUGGGUGGAUGAGUGGCGAACGGGUGAGUAACACGUGAGUAACCUGCCCCCUUCUUUGGGAUAACGCCCGGAAACGGGUGCUAAUACUGGAUAUUCACUGGUCUUCGCAUGGGGGUUGGUGGAAAGGGUUUUUCUGGUGGGGGAUGGGCUCGCGGCCUAUCAGCUUGUUGGUGGGGUGAUGGCCUACCAAGGCUUUGACGGGUAGCCGGCCUGAGAGGGUGACCGGUCACAUUGGGACUGAGAUACAGCCCAGACUCGUACGGGAGGCAGCAGUGGGGAAUAGUGCACAAUGGGGGCAAGCCUGAUGCAGCGACGCCGCGUGAGGGAUGGAGGCCUUCGGGUUGUGAACCUCUUUCGCUCAUGGUCAAGCCGCAACAAUGGUUGUGGUGAGGGUAGUGGGUAAAGAAGCGCCGGCUAACUACGUG
rnacentral:rRNA from 1 species